rnacentral:rRNA from 1 species
GCGUAGCGAAAGCGAGUGUUAAUAGCGCGAAUGAGUUCGUAGGAUCAGACCCGAAACCAGGUGAUCUAGCCAUGUGCAGGUUGAAGGUGCGGUAACACGCACUGGAGGACCGAACCCACUUAUGUUGAAAAAUGACGGGAUGACGUGUGGCUAGGGGUGAAAGGCCAAUCAAACCUGGAGAUAGCUGGUUCUCCGCGAAA